UACGAAGGGUGCAAGCGUUAAUCGGAAUUACUGGGCGUAAAGGGUGCGUAGGCGGUUGUUUAAGUCUGCCGUGAAAUCCCCGGGCUCAACCUGGGAAUGGCGGUGGAUACUGGAUAGCUAGAGUGUGUCAGAGGAUGGUGGAAUUCCCGGUGUAGCGGUGAAAUGCGCAGAUAUCGGGAAGAACACCCGUGGCGAAGGCGGCUCUCUGGGACGGUACUGACGCUGAGACGCGAAAGCGUGGGGAGCGAACAGG
rnacentral:rRNA from 1 species